UACGAAGGGGGCUAGCGUUGUUCGGAUUUACUGGGCGUAAAGCGCACGUAGGCGGAUCGUUAAGUCGAGGGUGAAAUCCCGGGGCUCAACCUCGGAACUGCCUUUGAUACUGGCGAGCUUGAGUUCGGGAGAGGUGAGUGGAACUGCGAGUGUAGAGGUGAAAUUCGUAGAUAUUCGCAAGAACACCAGUGGCGAAGGCGGCUCACUGGCCCGAUACUGACGCUGAGGUGCGAAAGCGUGGGGAGCAAACAGG
rnacentral:rRNA from 1 species